rnacentral:tmRNA from 1 species
GGGGCCGACAUGGCUUCGACGUGGGUCGCGAAGCAGCCAAGUGCAUACCGAGGUCCAGUCACCUCGUAAAUCCGCUGGAAACAAAGUAAACGCCAACGACGAGCGUUUCGCUCUCGCCGCUUAAAACCGGUGGGCGCUGCACCGACAGGUUCCUGGGUCGGAUGAUGGGGUGAAAACUUCGUCUCGCAGUGUCAUUUACAGGAACUCGAGCGCGUGUCGGGUUACUUGCCACACGUUCUAAAUCCAAGGUGACUCGUUGCAGAACGGCCCGCCCGCCGGCCAAACCCUGUGACUAAAUCCAAAUAGACGGGACAAGUAUGUAGAGCUUGCUGUAGAGGGCUUGCGGACGGGGGUUCGAUCCCCCCCGGCUCCACCA